AUACUGCAGUCGAGCGAACAGACGAGGAGCUUGCUCCUCUGACGUUAGCGGCGGACGGGUGAGUAACACGUGGAUAACCUACCUAUAAGACUGGGAUAACUUCGGGAAACCGGAGCUAAUACCGGAUAACAUGUUGAACCGCAUGGUUCAACAGUGAAAGACGGUCUUGCUGUCGCUUAUAGAUGGAUCCGCGCCGCAUUAGCUAGUUGGUAAGGUAACGGCUUACCAAGGCAACGAUGCGUAGCCGACCUGAGAGGGUGAUCGGCCACACUGGAACUGAGACACGGUCCAGACUCCUACGGGAGGCAGCAGUAGGGAAUCUUCCGCAAUGGGCGAAAGCCUGACGGAGCAACGCCGCGUGAGUGAAGAAGGUCUUCGGAUCGUAAAACUCUGUUAUUAGGGAAGAACAAAUGUGUAAGUAACUAUGCACGUCUUGACGGUACCUAAUCAGAAAGCCACGGCUAACUACGUGCCAGCAGCCGCGGUAAUACGUAGGUGGCAAGCGUUAUCCGGAAUUAUUGGGCGUAAAGCGCGCGUAGGCGGUUUUUUAAGUCUGAUGUGAAAGCCCACGGCUCAACCGUGGAGGGUCAUUGGAAACUGGAAAACUUGAGUGCAGAAGAGGAAAGUGGAAUUCCAUGUGUAGCGGUGAAAUGCGCAGAGAUAUGGAGGAACACCAGUGGCGAAGGCGACUUUCUGGUCUGUAACUGACGCUGAUGUGCGAAAGCGUGGGGAUCAAACAGGAUUAGAUACCCUGGUAGUCCACGCCGUAAACGAUGAGUGCUAAGUGUUAGGGGGUUUCCGCCCCUUAGUGCUGCAGCUAACGCAUUAAGCACUCCGCCUGGGGAGUACGACCGCAAGGUUGAAACUCAAAGGAAUUGACGGGGACCCGCACAAGCGG
rnacentral:rRNA from 1 species